UAGCACAGAGAGCUUGCUCUCGGGUGACGAGCGGCGGACGGGUGAGUAAUGUCUGGGAAACUGCCUGAUGGAGGGGGAUAACUACUGGAAACGGCAGCUAAUACCGCAUAAUGUCGCAAGACCAAAGUGGGGGACCUUCGGGCCUCAUGCCAUCAGAUGUGCCCAGAUGGGAUUAGCUAGUAGGUGGGGUAACGGCUCACCUAGGCGACGAUCCCUAGCUGGUCUGAGAGGAUGACCAGCCACACUGGAACUGAGACACGGUCCAGACUCCUACGGGAGGCAGCGGUGGGGAAUCUUGCGCAAUGGGCGAAAGCCUGACGGAGCCACGCCGCGUGAGUGAUGAAGGUCUUCGGAUCGUAAAACUCUGUUAUUAGGGAAGAACGAAUGUGUGAUUAACUAUGUGCGUAUUGACGGUACCUAAUCAAAAAGCCACGGCUAACUACGUGCCAGCAGCCGCGGUAAUACGUAGGUGGCAAGCGUUAUCCGGAAUUAUUGGGCGUAAAGCGCGCGUAGGCGGUCUGUUAAGUCUGAUGUGAAAUCCCCCGGCUCAACCUGGGAACUGCAUUGGAAACUGGAAGACUUGAGUGCUGAAGAGGAAAGUGGAAUUCCAUGUGUAGCGGUGAAAUGCGCAGAGAUAUGGAGGAACACCAGUGGCGAAGGCGACUUUCUGGACUGUAACUGACGCUCAUGUGCGAAAGCG
rnacentral:rRNA from 1 species